rnacentral:lncRNA from 1 species
UUGUUUUCCUCAUAUCAAGUUACUCACGGUUAAAUCCUCUUGCUAUUUUUUUUUACAGCGUGUUAUCAGCAGCCACCCACCCACCUUGCCUUGUCCAAACCAUUGCUGAGGUUAGGGUUCUUAUAUUUUUUACCAUGGUCAAUUUCGUCUGUUAUGAGCUUUAUAAUCCCUUUUAUUGUUUGCUGUCGUAUAAUUACUCGAAGAAAACAACUGAUCUCUCCCUUUUUUUAAAAAACCAUUUGUGAUCGUUUAUUAGAUGGAAAGGUUAAUUAUGGGGUGAAGAAAAUGUAUGUUAAGAAGAUAUAGUCAUGAUCUAAUUAUAAACCUAUAUUCAUGAAAUGAAAUAAGGGUAGGACAUUAUGGAAGAUAAAUAUCCUUAAUAUUUUAUGUUAAAAAAUCAGAAGAAUAAACAAUCGAAGUUUUAUGGUCUAACAUGAGGUCUAUAUUGAUCUUCAUACCUUUACUCCUUUGCGCUUGGCGUAUUGCCAAAGUCUAAGGGCGAUGAGUCUGACAGCUCGCUAGAUUCAUACACACUUGGGCUUGGCUCGAUACCAAGCCCACAUACAGUGAAUCUGAUAGUUUGCUAGACCAUUAUUUGAUUAGGCUCUGCACGUAGCUGAACUAAAAAAUAUUAGGUCUGGUAGUUCGCCAGACCCAUGUCUGUUUGGGUUCAAAGUGUAGCUGAACUCAAGGCUUUUGAGUAUGAUAGCUUGCCAGAUCCAUAUUUGUUUGGACUUAGUAUAUAACUGAACUCAAGAAAAUUGAGUAUGAUAGCUUGUCAGACUUAUGUCAAUUUGGGCUUGGCUCGUAGCCACGCCCAAGGACAUUUGGCCUUGAAGUAAGCAAGAUUAAUGUCAUUUAAAUUUGACAUUUUGCCAAGCAUAGAGAUGUUAAGUAUGUACGCAAGCUCCACCCACUUAUCAUUGGGCUUAACACGUAACCAAGUCUAAGGGCGAUAAGUCUGGCAGCUUGCUAAACUCAUACACACUUGGGCUUGGCUUGAUGUCAAGCCCACGAGCAGUGGAUCUGAUAAUUUGCUAGACCCAUAUCCAUGUCUGUUUAGGCUUAGUGCAUAACUGAUCCUAAGAAUGUUGGUUCUGACAGAUUACUAGACUCAUAUUCAUUUAAGCUUAGAGUGUAGCUGAACUAAAAAAUGUUAAGUUUGACAGCAUGCUAGAUCUAUGUUUGUUUAAAUUCAAUGCAUAACUGAACUCAAGAAUAUUAAAUGUGAUGCUUGUUGAACUUAUGUCCACUUGGAGUUGGCUGAUAGCCACGUCCAAGGACAUUUGGCCUUGAAGUAAGCACGAACUCAAGAAUAUUAAAUGUGAUUUUGUAAAGCAUAAGGAUGUUAAGUAUGGAUGUAAGCUCUACCCACUUAUCAUUGAAUUAUCACUCUUCAUUUUAUCUUUUGUUUUUUUUAAAAAAAAAACUUAGCCUAAAAACUAAUUUUUAAAAAUAUGUAGAUACAUCACAUUUUGAUGUCUUUUGAGCAUAUUUUUCAACUUUCUAUUCAGAAUGACCGGUGUGGAAGGCUGCAUUUCGUAAAACACUUCCAGUAAAAUUAUUGGCCAAUGAAGUUUUAUUUACGAUUUUUGAAUUAGCUAGCCUCUCCUCUUUUGAAUGUUCUCUACGUUAUUUUUUGCUGAUUCCUUCUUUCAUUGUUUGAUUAAAUCAGAUAUCUUACAACAGAACAUAUGCUUCUGUCAGGAUUUGGCAUCGGUUGCCCUUGUAAUCGGAAAGGCUCAUUCAUUGAAUCUCCUAACAAAAUCUUCUUGAUCUUAUUUGCUACGUUCAAUUAGAUUAGUUGUUCUUGGCUUUCCAAAAGACAUGAAUGUUUACAUUUCUCUUGUUGCACUUCUCCGCAUAGAUGAAAGAUUUCUGAAAAUGGCUGGCACUUGAACCUUAUGAAAAAGAAGGAGGUAGGCAUAUAAACACCUACUGAUUGAUAACGAGCAUGCAUGUAUUAGGAAAGUGAUCAUUCCAUUUCCAUUUCAAGUUUUUCAACACAGGUAAUACGAACUGCUAUCUGUUGCUAAGCUAUUAGAAAGACAUUCGGCAUUGUCUGAGAAUCUUAGCAGUAGAGAAGAUGCAGAGCAUUUAUCUGAUAUCUAUUCAGAAUGAAUUGGCAGAUCAACAGUCCUUUCUUUAAUUUAUUUGUAUUAUUUUAUAUAUAUCCAUCUUUAAAAAUU